ACGCUCGACACCUACGGAGGCAGCAGUGGGGAAUAUUGCACAAUGGGGGAAACCCUGAUGCAGCGACGCCGCGUGAAGGAAGAAGUAUCUCGGUAUGUAAACUUCUAUCAGCAGGGAAGAAAAUGACGGUACCUGACUAAGAAGCCCCGGCUAACUACGUGCCAGUAGCCGCGGUAAUCUGAGCGGGCUGGCAAGGC
rnacentral:rRNA from 1 species